rnacentral:rRNA from 1 species
ACGGACAUGUGAUUUGCUUUCGGGUAGAUCAUAUGUUAGUGGCGGAAGGGUUAGUAAUACAUGAAUAACGUACCCCUUACUCCAGAAUAACAGUCGGAAACGAUUGCUAAUACUGAAUGAGGUUAGGAGAGGGAAACCUUUUUUUAUCAAAGUAGGGGAUCUAGUGAUAGACCUUACGGUAAGGGAGCGGUUCAUGCGAUAUCAGCUUGUUGGUGUGGUAACGGCGCACCAAGG